UACGUAGGGAGCAAGCGUUGUCCGGAAUCAUUGGGCGUAAAGCGCGUGUAGGCGGCUUGGUAAGUCUGCUCUGAAAGCCCGGGGCUCAACCCCGGGAGGCGGGUGGAUACUGCUGAGCUCGAGUCCGGAAGAGGCGAGUGGAAUUCCUGGUGUAGCGGUGAAAUGCGUAGAUAUCGGGAGGAACACCAGUGGCGAAGGCGACUACCUGGCCUGUUCUUGACGCUGAGGCGCGAAAGCUAGGGGAGCAAACGGG
rnacentral:rRNA from 1 species